rnacentral:miRNA from 1 species
UUGAACCGAAGGGAGCUCCUU